GUUUUUUUUCUUACACUUGAAAUUCAUAACUCCUAAUGGGCAAUCCAGCUGAAUUAUAUUUCCAUAUGGUUAAAGAAAAAAUGACCAGUCAUUGAGAAAGAUAAAGACAUUUUCCAGUCAACCAUUAACAUCAGAACACAUACACCUUGUUUUAUUUGGCAAUUGGCCUCUGCUUUUUCAACUCCAACGCAAUGCUAACUUAAUAAUACAGAAGACAGUUCACUGACAGGGAGACCAUUCUGCCCCACCAGAACAGCGACACAAUUUAAAAUCGUUUCAAUUCUCAGUCAAGAAAGCCAGAAAUCCCUUUGGUCGUUGGAGGAAAUGGUUUCUGGAUCCUCCCUGGUAAAAUACAGGAAUUCACCCUCCCAUCAUGCAGCAGGUACGUCAGAGUUCAGCUUCUGUGGCAGUUUCCUCUGAGAACAUUUGCAAAGAGAGAUGCUCCCUGCGUACUCUCACAGUCUGGAGCAGAAAAGGGAUUGUGAUAAACUCCAGAAGAUGGGAUUCUUCAUAGUUGUCCUCAGUGUCUUUCCUCCUCUAAUUUGACAAAAUCAGGACUCACAUUUCAGGCUUCUUGCCUCCCCAAGCUGCAGCCACACCAGUAACUUUGUGCAAGCGCAGGUCUCAGUCACAGCCUUGAGCACGUGCAUGGUCUUGAAUGUGAUCACAGAUACAGACAGUUAACGAAUCAACACUCCUGCAUCAAUGGAUUCCUCUCUGGCUGGUAAAUAAAUCACAUUUGCUUUAUUUAAUUCUGUCUUCAAAAUUGUGCUCAAGACUUCCUUCCACCAUGAAGCUUGAAUUCAUCACUCACAUCCAAUUAUCCAAUAAAUUCAGCUCUUCACCAUUCCCAUUGUUCCCCAUUAUAACCUUUUUAGCCCUGAGAGUAUCCAUAGACCCCUUUAAAAAUGUGUGUGUGCACAUAUGUGUGCAUGCGUGCAUGCACAUGUGUGUGAGUGUGCAUAUGAGUGCAUGUGUGUGUGUGUGUGUGUUUCUGCUACCUCUAUUUGAAAACACAGGUAGCCACUGCACGGCCAUAUUAAUAUAUGUUGAUGGAUAAGUUUUAAAGCACAGAUAAUGCUCAUGUUUGCACAGGUGCAUACACUCACCAUCGCUGGAAGCUACCUAAGAACAAUUGUGAAGAUCUGAAAGCUGACAGACAGGUCAAUGAUUUUCACAGUCCAAGUUGAAGCAGAACAGCCAGGAGAGAGGAAGGGCUCUGGGUCACAGCUACCGGGAAAAUCCAGAAGCUUUUGGCAGCUGCCUUGCACCCUCCCAUCUUCAAGCUCUGGGCAGCGGUCGUUCCCUGGUGUCUGGAUCUGGGCACUGGCAUCAGAGUGAGAGGAAGCUUGAUACAGGCUCUUUGUCUCUAGUUUAACAAAGCACAGAGAUAGGACAUAAACUCAUGUCCACACGCUCCAGGAAAGCAUGCGUGUCCACGGCCGUUCUCAGAGAAAAUGAGAGAGCCCAGAGUCCUCAAGAAAACCUCUAAACAAUUCUCCAGCAAUUAAAAAUGGCCCCUCAGGAUGAAAGGUAGACAGCGACAUCUACUUUUAUCUGGUAAAACCAAUCGGACCUCACAGCAGUCAUUACGAGAAGAGCAUGUGUGUGAUUUUGGUCACUGACAGAAUGAAUUGUGU
rnacentral:lncRNA from 1 species